GCGGAUAUGGCGGAACUGGUAGACGCAACAGACUUAAAAUCUGUUGAGGAUUUUCCUCGUGCCGGUUCGAUUCCGGCUUUCCGCACCA
rnacentral:tRNA from 1 species